UAGGGAAUCUUCGGCAAUGGACGAAAGUCUGACCGAGCAACGCCGCGUGAGUGAAGAAGGUUUUCGGAUCGUAAAACUCUGUUGUUAGAGAAGAACAAGGACGUUAGUAACUGAACGUCCCCUGACGGUAUCUAACCAGAAAGCCACGGCUAACUACGUGCCAGCAGCCGCGGUAAUACGUAGGUGGCAAGCGUUGUCCGGAUUUAUUGGGCGUAAAGCGAGCGCAGGCGGUUUCUUUAGUCUGAUGUGAAAGCCCCCGGCUCAACCGGGGAGGGUCAUUGGAAACUGGGAGACUUGAGUGCAGAAGAGGAGAGUGGAAUUCCAUGUGUAGCGGUGAAAUGCGUAGAUAUAUGGAGGAACACCAGUGGCGAAGGCGGCUCUCUGGUCUGUAACUGACGCUGAGGCUUGAAAGCGUGGGGAGCAAACAGG
rnacentral:rRNA from 1 species